CCUACGGGAGGCAGCAGUGAGGAAUAUUGGACAAUGGGGGGAACCCUGAUCCAGCGACGCCGCGUGAGUGAAGAAGUAUUUCGGUAUGUAAAGCUCUAUCAGCAGGGAAGAAAAUGACGGUACCUGAGUAAGAAGCCCCGGCUAACUACGUGCCAGCAGCCGCGGUAAUACGUAGGGGGCAAGCGUUAUCCGGAUUUACUGGGUGUAAAGGGAGCGUAGACGGCAGUGCAAGUCUGGAGUGAAAGGCGGGGGCUCAACCCCCGGACUGCUCUGGAAACUGUACGGCUGGAGUGCAGGAGAGGUAAGUGGAAUUCCUAGUGUAGCGGUGAAAUGCGUAGAUAUUAGGAGGAACACCAGUGGCGAAGGCGGCUUACUGGACUGUAACUGACGUUGAGGCUCGAAAGCGUGGGGAGCAAACAGGAUUAGAUACCCCAGUAGUC
rnacentral:rRNA from 1 species